rnacentral:rRNA from 1 species
CACGUAGGGCGCAAGCGUUGUCCGGAAUUAUUGGGCGUAAAGAGCUCGUAGGCGGCUUGUCGCGUCGGCUGUGAAAUCCCGUGGCUCAACUGCGGGUCUGCAGCCGAUACGGGCAGGCUAGAGUUCGGUAGGGGAGACUGGAAUUCCUGGUGUAGCGGUGAAAUGCGCAGAUAUCAGGAGGAACACCGAUGGCGAAGGCAGGUCUCUGGGCCGAUACUGACGCUGAGGAGCGAAAGCGUGGGGAGCGAACAGG